AUUGAACGCUGCGGCAGGCUUAACACAUGCAAGUCGAGCGAGCGGCGGACGGGUGAGUAAUGCUUAGGAAUCUGCCUAUUAGUGGGGGACAACAUCUCGAAAGGGAUGCUAAUACCGCAUACUAAUAGAUGAGACUAAGUCGGAUUAGCUAGUUGGUGGGGUAAAGGGCUACCAAGGCGACGAUCUGUAGCGGGUCUGAGCGGAUGAUCCGCCACCCUGGGGCUGAGCCACGGCCCAGACUCCUACGUGAGGCAGCAGUGGAGAAUAUUGGACAAUGGGGAGAACCCUGAUCCAGCCAUGCCGCGUGUGUGAAGAAGGCCUUAUGGUUGUAAAGCACGUUAAGCGGGGAGGCGUUACCCGCAGAAGAAGCACCGGCUAACUCCGUGCCAGCAGCCGCGGUAAUUC
rnacentral:rRNA from 1 species